rnacentral:lncRNA from 1 species
CCUUGAAUGGGGCGUGCCCAUCACUGCUUUUGUCAUAGUGCCUCAGAUUGGAAUGACCCCCGCCCAGGAGAGUGGCCAAGCACACUGUGGCCCACUCAUACAUCAGAAGAUUACACACUGGAUAAAAUGACACAAGCCACCUGCUACACACCAUGGUGCAGGUGAAUCUCCAGGCUUUGUGUGCAGUAAAGUAAGCCAGACACAGAGACCAAAUUUUACUGUUUGUAUGAACACCAAGAGUCUCUGGUGUUAAAAGUCAGGCUAGCAGUCACCUCUGGGGUGGCAUUUACUGGGGAGAAGACCUGGGGAGCAUGAAAUGUUGAUGCCUCGAUCUGAGGUUGGGUGGCUGUAGGAACCCCUGUGGCCGCCCACCCAGCUGUGCACAUAGUCCUGGGGAACUCCAUUUCGCAUAAAUUACACGGUGGGCAGGACCCAGGUCACAAGGGAUGGAAUCUAUGCAGAAAGGAGGUGUUCCAAGGGGAACUCAGAAGAGCAGGGAAGGAGAAUAGAGUGACGCUACUGCUGGGAAAGAGAAGGUCCAGUGCGUUCUUGCCAGAAAGGUCCCACUGGUGCGUUUUCCUUCCCCAGCUGAGCUUGCCUUCCUUCCUGGCAGGGUGGCGUCUCUCCCUCCUCCACAGGUGACAGCAGAGAAAACACAGCCUCACGUAGACCCUCCCUUCUCGAAAGGAGCCGACAGUCCUGAUCCCAGGCCCCAAAGCUCCUCUCAACCAUCAGCCCCAAUCACAACGACUCAACAACUCGACCUGCCUGCACACAACCUCAGCUCUGCACUUAGGACCUGCCCAAGCCAGCCUUCACCUUGGGAGCUGAAAAGUUCACAUCAAGCAGAUUUUCCUCCAGUGUCCUUGACAGGAAAGCUACAUCUGAGAGCGUUUAACCCCAAACUCCAAAGCUGCAAACAGUCAAGAGAACCUAGGCCAGAGCGAGGCCUGCACAGCACAGUGCACGGGCCCUCGGGACAGACGUCCAAGGGACCUGGAUAGCACUCUUUUGCCCGCCCUGGUCUGUCUGUCCUAGCACCCAGGAUGUCCCUUCUCCCCCAGGGGUGACCCUCUCACUAUAAGAGACCCUGAACUAACUACAAAAG